UUUUUUUUUGUUCAACGGAAGGCUACGAGUGAGGUGGAUCUUAGGAUGGACAUGAGACAAUUAAUAUGAAACGUAGUUUUCUUAUUUCAAAAUCUGUCAUUAAAAAACUUUUAAAAAUGUUUUCCUCCAUACCAAACACACCACAACACUGUGAUCCCCUUAUGGGACGAGUCGAGUUAAUUGAAUUGAGAAUUAUCAGGAGAGGGGAAAAAGGAACACGAAACCACUCUCAAUGGGUAUUGUCUCUUUAUGAUCUCUAGGAAAUGGACUCAACAUAUAUAACAAUUAGUUUCUUUAUCAUUUUUAGUUACUUAAGGGCGUACAUUGUGAAUUCUUUUGUUUCUUAGUUUAAGAUAUGACAGUCCGAGCUGAAUUACUCUAUUGCGGGUUUUCUCGGAAUGUCUAGGAGGCACAGGUCAGUUUCCUCAUUUGCUUUUUGAUAUGGACUUAAUUUAGCUAUUGACAGGAAUUAAUUUAACUUUCAUUUACAUAUGUUCGUGUGUGCAUCUUUUGGCGUAACUGGUUAUUACCUUACCUCAGGACCAAAUUGGUUAUUGGGCAGUACUGCAAGUAUUAGUAACAGGAGCAACGAAUAGACGUGAAGUUUGAAGAUGAGAAAGAAGUAGCUACUCAGACUGGAUAUGAAUCUGAACUCAAAACAAGCCUUGCAGAGAAGGAAGAACGAAGGAUGCGCCGUGUAUUAGCUAACAGAGAAUCUGCCAAGCGGACAAUUCGUCGAAGACAGUUUUUCCUUAAAAGGCAAUGCGAGAGGAAAUGAGAAGAAAAGCAGAUGAUCUCGCACUGGAGAAUGAAAAUUUGAAGAAGAUUAAAGAACUUGCUGCUGCGGAAUACAAUUUCUUGAAGAACAAAAACGAUAACUUGAGAAUGCAGAUAGCUAAAAAUGUGAAGGCUGAAGUAGAGGAAACAUAUGAUGAUUCCAAGUCUCCUCUCGUGGAAACUCAUACUUCAACCACAUCCACAACUUCCUUAUAUAACCAAAUGCCUCUCAUUUUGUCUUCCGCCCUCCCGUGUUUUGAUGGUCUCUUAUUACAACGCGGUGGUAUGCAUCAUAUUUCUAGCAUUACACCACCGGUGCUUACCUCCCCCGGAGAAGGAACAACACCAUCCGACAAAUUAGAAAGCUCCGUGAUGGUGAUGAUGAACAACAACGUCCCAGGAGGUACUCCUCUAUAUAUAGUUCCCUUUCCUUGGCAGAUGCAAAGUUAUCCUUUUCAUUCGUCGACAACCUCAUAUCCCGACGACGAUAAACAUAAGAAUUCAACUCCUAUACAUGAAAGUUGAAACAAAAACUCCUCAUUCAAUAGAUACUAUGCCUACUCACUUCCUUCACAACAUUGACAAGGUCAAACAACUAGCAGGGUUUCGUUCAACUUCAAGCCCUUUCGUAUUACCACAAGCUAUUGCUACACAAAAUGAGAUUAUUCAACAAAUUAUGUUAUGUACACCUGAUUUCAAAUCUGAUGUUGGGCGCGUAGCAAGAGCCUCUGCAGAUGAUGCAUUGUUAGAACAUAGAACAUGUAACUCGGAAGUUGAAGAUGCUUAUGAAAUGAAAAUACGUGUUUUGUUAUCAGUUCGAUUUCUUGCCAAGGACAAGAUGAGAGUUGCAAUUUUGAGUUUGGUAUCAACAAGGUGUUACGGGAUCCCACUUAUUCGGUCGAUUUUUAUAUCUUU
rnacentral:misc_RNA from 1 species